GAUACCAGCUGGCUGCAACUGUUUAUUAAAAACACAGCACUGUGCAAACACGAAAGUGGACGUAUACGGUGUGACGCCUGCCCGGUGCUGGAAGGUUAAUUGAUGGGGUUAUCCGUAAGGAGAAGCUCUUGAUCGAAGCCCCAGUAAACGGCGGCCGUAACUAUAACGGUCCUAAGGUAGCGAAAUUCCUUGUCGGGUAAGUUCCGACCUGCACGAAUGGCGUAAUGAUGGCCAGGCUGUCUCCACCCGAGACUCAGUGAAAUUGAACUCGCUGUGAAGAUGCAGUGUACCCGCGGCAAGACGGAAAGACCCCGUGAACCUUUACUAUAGCUUGACACUGAACAUUGAGCCUUGAUGUGUAGGAUAGGUGGGAGGCUUUGAAGCGUGGACGCCAGUCUGCGUGGAGCCAACCUUGAAAUACCACCCUUUAAUGUUUGAUGUUCUAACGUUGCCCCAUUAUCUGGGGUGCGGACAGUGUCUGGUGGGUAGUUUGACUGGGGCGGUCUCCUCCCAAAGAGUAACGGAGGAGCACGAAGGUUGGCUAAGCAUGGUCGGACAUCAUGCGGUUAGUGCAAAGGCAUAAGCCAGCUUGACUGCGAGAGUGACGGCUCGAGCAGGUACGAAAGUAGGUCUUAGUGAUCCGGUGGUUCUGAAUGGAAGGGCCAUCGCUCAACGGAUAAAAGGUACUCCGGGGAUAACAGGCUGAUACCGCCCAAGAGUUCAUAUCGACGGCGGUGUUUGGCACCUCGAUGUCGGCUCAUCACAUCCUGGGGCUGAAGUAGGUCCCAAGGGUACGGCUGUUCGCCGUUUAAAGUGGUACGCGAGCUGGGUUUAGAACGUCGUGAGACAGUUCGGUCCCUAUCUGCCGUGGGCGUUGGAAGAUUGAAAGGGGCUGCUCCUAGUACGAGAGGACCGGAGUGGACGCACCACUGGUGUUCGGGUUGUCAUGCCAAUGGCAUUGCCCGGUAGCUAAGUGCGGAAGAGAUAACCGCUGAAAGCAUCUAAGCGGGAAACUUGCC
rnacentral:rRNA from 1 species